rnacentral:lncRNA from 10 species
AAUACUGUUUAACAAACAUUACAUGAGAUACUGCAUGAAAAGCACAUGGUAAUGGUGCUCCAGUUUAUUACAGAGAGUAAGACUUCCAUCAUGUAAAGCAUUUUCAAACAGUAUUGCACACAUCUGGUGCAUGUGACUGUGUUGGUGUAGACAUGUGCCUCUGUGUAUCAGAAUCCAGGUGGUGGGUCAGACAGAUGAGUUGCAGUCAGUAACUGGGGGACUCUUGUUUACUAGAAGCCUUAGCCCUAUAGCUAAAUUUAAGGGAGGAGACCACCCCUCAUAUUGUCUUAUGCCCAAUUUCUGCCUCCAAAGAUAGAAAAAGUAAAAACUAAAAGGCAGAAAUGAAAUCCACAAGCAGACAGCCCGGCGCCACACCCUGGGCCUGGUAGUUAAAGAUCGACCCCUGACCUAAUCGGUUAUGGUUAUCUAUAGAUUACAGAAAUUGUAUAGAAAAGCACUGUGAAAAUCCCUAUCCUGUUUUGUUCCGACCUAAUUAUGGGUGCAUGCAGCCCCCAGUCACGUACCCCCUGCUUACUCAAUAGAUCACGACCCUCUCACGUGCACCCCCUUAGAGUUGUG